GAUCUAUUCGGAUAACGGAAAGACCUUCAAAGCAGCAGAAAAUUGGAUAAGAAAGGUAAUGAAACAAGAACAGUUUCAAAACUUCCUCGCCCGUCAAAAUAUCGUUUGGCAGUUUAACCUAAGCAGGGCUCCUUGGUGGGGAGGCCAGUUUGAGAGGAUGGUGGGCCUGAUAAAAAGAGCACUAUACAAGAGCAUCGGACGUGCUAAUUUGCGAUGGGGAGAGCUUGAAGAGGUGAUCCUGGAUGUAGAAAUAGCGGUUAACAAUCGGCCUUUGGGCUAUGUCGAGGACGAUGUUCAAUUUCCUACCCUGACGCCAAACUCAAUGCUGUUUAUGCAACCUAACCUACUUCCCGAAGAAGAAACUAGUGAUGUCGAAGGCGUAGAGCUGAGGAAACGAGCAAGGCAUUUAUCGAAGUGCAAGGACGCGGUAUGGUCUCGAUGGACAAAAGAGUACAUAAACGGACUGAGAGAACGGCACAAUCUGAACAACAAGGGGAAAGAAGUAAGCGUUAAAGUAGGAGACGUAGUUUUGAUCCAAAACGACGAACGGAAUCGAGGAAAGUGGAAUGUCGGUAUCGUAGUUAAGCUUAUAAAAGGAAAGGACGGUGUAGUAAGAGCUGCGAAACUCAGAGCAGGGAAGUCCUAUUUGGAACGCGCCAUUCAGCAGUUAGCCCCGAUGGAACUGACAUGUGAUAAUCCGCCAGUAGGGCCAGAAGAGAAACAAGCAACCUUGAAUGUGAAAGCGAGAGAGUUUCGACCGAAAAGACGAGCAGCUGCAGCCGCGGAGGAACGAAUCAAAAGUAUCGCUGAAGAAGAUGAACUUGAACACUAAUUGAACAGAACAUACAUUUGUUUCCUUCGGAAUCAAAUGGGGGGAGAGUGUAGAUAAUUUUAGACAUUAUUGACAUUACAUAUAGUUAUUAAGACUUAUAUAAAGUAUUGCGAACAGAAGAGCCCGCGGGCGCUAGGAUCGGGGGCUCAGGUAUGAGAGAAAAACAAAACAGUGAGAGAUUUUGUAAAUCAAAUGUGAGAGUUUCAAUGAAUUUAAGUUUAAAAUAAACAGUUUUGUCG